CAGGGAGACAACAAAAUGUUUAAUAUUAUUAUUUUGUCACCUUAGGUCGAUCGGUAUCUCACGUUCUUAUUUUAUUAAGAAUUUCAUUUCCUAAGUUUUUCUAGGUCACACCCAUUAUUUUUCCUGGGCCAUUAGCUCAGGUGGUUAGAGCGCACCCCUGAUAAGGGUGAGGUCCCUGGUUCAAGUCCAGGAUGGCCCAUAUCUCUACGUUGGGGGUAUAGCUCAGUUGGUAGAGCGCCUGCUUUGCAAGCAGGAUGUCAGCGGUUCGAGUCCGCUUACCUCCACUGAUUACCACCUCUUCCAUAAUCAGUAGAAAGGAAAUGUUUUGAGUUGUGAUCAAUUUCUGAACGAAUCUAGCUUCCUAAUAAAACCAUUAAGAUGCUGGACUCAUUGAAUUAACUUCAUUGUUUUCAGAGAACCUUGACAACUGCAUAGAUUAUUUUUAAAGACAAUAAGCAUCUUUAAUGAUGCAGAUUUAUUAUUUGUGCGAAUGCAUUAAUAACAAUUCUAUUAAGCUGAUGCUUCAAUAUUGAAGUUAUU
rnacentral:tRNA from 1 species